rnacentral:rRNA from 1 species
UGGGGGAAUAUUGCACAAUGGGCGCAAGCCUGAUGCAGCCAUGCCGCGUGUGUGAAGAAGGCCUUCGGGUUGUAAAGCACUUUCAGCGAGGAGGAAGGGUUCAGUGUUAAUAGCACUGUUCAUUGACGUUACUCGCAGAAGAAGCACCGGCUAACUCCGUGCCAGCAGCCGCGGUAAUACGGAGGGUGCAAGCGUUAAUCGGAAUUACUGGGCGUAAAGCGCACGCAGGCGGUUUGUUAAGUCAGAUGUGAAAUCCCCGCGCUUA